rnacentral:rRNA from 1 species
GUCCAUGCCGUAAACGAUGAGUGCUAAACGUUGGUAGAGUUAUCUAUCGGUGUUUGAGCUAACGCAUUAAGCACUCCGCCUUAGUAGUACGGUCGCAAGAUUAAAACUCAAAGAAAUUGACGGGGACCCGCACAAGCGGUGGAGCAUGUGGUUUAAUUCGAAGCUACGCGCAAAACCUUACCAAGGCUUGACAUUAUAGUAGAGAUUUGUUGAAAGACAGAUUGCAUUUAGUUGGACUAUAACAGGUGCUGCAUGGCUGUCGU